AAUCUGAUGGACGACACAGCGUGCAGGAUGAAGGUCCUAUGGGUUGUAAACUGCUGUGGCUAAUGGAAUAAAAAUAGUGUAGGAAAUGCCACUAUAUUGAAUGUACCUUAUUAGAAAGCAACGGCUAACUAUGUGCCACCAGCCGCGGUAAUACAUAGGUUGCAAGCGUUAUCCGGAAUUAUUGGGCGUAAAGCGUCUGUAGGUUGUUUGUUAAGUCUUGGCGUGUAAAUUUUGGGGCUCACCCCAAACCGCGUUGGAUACUGGCAACUAAGUUAUGUAGAGGUUAGCCGAAAUUCCUUGUGAGAAGCGGUGUGGAAAUUGGCUAAAUAAUAAGGAAAAACACCAUACAUGGCGAAGGCAACUAACUUGGACAUUACCCUGACCUGAUAAACAA
rnacentral:rRNA from 2 species